rnacentral:rRNA from 1 species
CAGUAGCCGCGGUAAUACGUAGGGGGCAAGCGUUGUCCGGAAUUAUUGGGCGUAAAGCGCGCGCAGGCGGUUUUUUAAGUCUGGUGUCUAAGUGCGGGGCUCAACCCCGUGACGCACUGGAAACUGGGAGACUUGAGUGCAGAAGAGGAGAGCGGAAUUCCACGUGUAGCGGUGAAAUGCGUAGAGAUGUGGAGGAACACCAGUGGCGAAGGCGGCUCUCUGGACUGUAACUGACGCUGAGGCGCGAAAGCGUGGGGAGCAAACAGGAUUAGAUACCCGCGUAGUCCCUGUCUCUUAUACA